AGGCAUCUCCCUAAGACAGAGAGUAGUCUCUCUGUCUUCCCAUAUAUAGAGGAUGCUAAAAGAAAGGAAGGUCUUCAAAAUGUUUAAAUCUGACUCCUAUGCCAAAGAGGGACACUACUAUAAAAGGUUAUCCAUUGCUCCUAUUCAGAAUUGCUCUUUGGAGGUGCCUGUUUCUUUCUCUUAGUGUGAUGUUUGGCAAAGUGAAUUUCCUCCCUGCAGGUUUCACUUCAGGGAAGUGUUGUGAACUCUUUUGCAGGUGCUAAGGGAACUCAGAAUAGUAUAAAAACUGAAAAGAGGGAAUUUACAGCAUUCACAUGGACUGUGGAAUUCAGUUAAUGAAGAAUUUUGCUUCCUUCUAGAUGUUUUUCAAGCCCUUGAACCUACUGCCAUGAUUCAUGCAAACUUAAGAGGUCAGAGUGCAAUAACUUCACUCCUCCUUCUACAAAUGUGUCAUGACUUGAGAGAGGUACAUAAUGACAUUAACAAUAGUUCCUGGUUUCUUACUCCUGGAAUGGACUACUUCUGAAAGGAAGGCUACCCACAGUGUUUACAAGCUACCUUGCUCCCGAUAUGCCUUUCUUUUUAGAAGAGGUGUAUGUUUAGGUGGACCUGAAAUUAUGAGAAAGCAAUGCAUCCCUCAGCAAGCAGAAGCAGAAGUAAAGCCCAUACUUAUGGUAUAAAUUAGGAAGCAAAUAAGACCUGCAGUUCUUCAGUGAAAGCAUGGAAUGUGCUAUGAAUCAGGGUAACACCUGAGACAGAAGAUGAGCAGUGAUUCCCUGAGGAAAAAGCAGGAUUUCUGUUUUCUCCUGGAAUGGGACUCUGAUAUGAGACCAACUACAAAUCUGUGGCAAGUGUGGCUAUGGUCUUGCUGGGUGGAACUGGUAAAAGGUGAAAGACAGGAACCUGUAAUUUCAGGGAAACAGUGAAAAUCCUGUGAUAAGCAGGAUUAAAACUGGCUUCCAGCUGCCUGACUAAUAUGAGGCCCUUGGAAGAGACCAUCAGGGAGUUUCCCAGCAAUGACUGUGGAAAACUGAGAUUUGAUCAAGACUCUGGAAAAAAAGCUUGGAUCCACACUCAGUAUCUGAUGACACAUUAAGUCCCUUCUACUGAAAGACAAAGAUCACAUGAACUGUAAAGGAAAUGUUGGUAUCUGGAGAUGGUGUAAUUUUGGUUGCUGGAACAAACAUUUGUUUGGAUUUCUCUUCAUGGGGAAUGAUGUAGUUCUCAUCCCUAUGUUUGAAGACUCACUUCAGUUUUCUUCGCCACAAAAAGAACAAUGGUAAAGACAAUUCAAUGCAUGGAGAUGAAGAAAGGAAUUUCUGUAAGAAACAGUUUUAAUUGUUAUGGUAGUCUGUUAAAUACUUAAUUUGAUUUUUAGGGUUAAACCUCUCUUUAAAGGAUUGUAAAACAUACAGUCACCACACAAAGCUUGUGCCAGUGUGCUUUAGCUAGUAACUGUGUUACUGCUGAGAAGAAAAAUCUAAGAAAUACAUUCAAGAUUUUUAAAGUUUUUUACAUAGAAGGAAAUUUUUAGGGUUUCACAUAUGCCUUGAACUCUUCUUCUACUGAAUAUUGCUAGACACCUUUCUUUGACAACUUUUUAGAGAUGACAAGGUUUAGUACAAGGCUGAAUGUUGUCAGAUGAACCCCUGUAGACUUGCUGACUUGCAGCUGAACACUAAUGCUCUUUUACUACAGCUUUUUGUUCUGAGAAUCCUUUUUCAUUAGACUGCUUGAGAAAUUCUCAAAUAAAAAAGUGCCUACAAUACAACAUAUAAACCUGAAAUCUCAACUUAAGCAAUUGGAGUAUAUAAUAGUAAAAAUUGUCCUUUAAAAUAGGAAGUGGAAAUUUCAGCCUUUAGAAAGGUCUUUGCUGAGAGUAUCAGGUGGAAAGUCAAGUGGAAUCUUCUCUUCAGAGCAGUUGGAUCAAUGUCUUCUGGAUUAGUCUUAUUUCCAGUGACAAGUUAAGUACUCAGCAAUAAGCAGCAAUGAUCUAAUGAUCUCCAUGAAACAGUUCAUUCAACCAUUUUUAGGAAUACAUUGCCAUCUGGUGUACAAAAUUUUGAAUAUGUCAGUUUUACUAUUUAAAAUCUAAUGUCCUUGGACAGAAAGUCUUCCAUCAUUUUAUACUUACUUCCUGGAAUCAACCUAUUGAACUCAAUGAACUAAAACCUAUAGUACUUUUCAAUGCAAUUUUUUCAUAAGGGUUUUCAGAACAUUUGUGAGUUCACACACUGGCAAUAAUAUAUUUCAAUUGCUACAGAGACUACUUACAUGUUGGUGCUAUCAGUUCCCUAUGUGACUGGAAUAUCUAUCUUGUAUUAUCUCUAAGCUAAGAGAUAAAAUUGAAUGUAAUCCUACCAAAAAAAUUGUGCUUAUAUUAGUAAGACAGUCACUGCACUGAGGCGCUGCAUUCUUACUGCUUGUACCUUGUGCAAAGGGAAGUUUAAAAAUACAAACAGCAGACUUUCAGCCCAGACAGAUUUUAAGGGAUGUUUUGCUCAUUUAAAUUAGGUAAAGAUUUGUUUCCUAAUUUCUAGUUUGAUUAAACAGCAGAUUUUGAAUAGCGGCUUUCAUUUGAUCUCAUAAUAAGCAACUCUGAGUUUGUAUUAGUCUUUUAGUAUGUCUUCUGAUCUUCCAUAAGCACUGAUCAAGGGUGAUCAUGGUAUUGUGAAAACUAGUGAAACUGGCUCCUCAAAUAUCGCAUUUGUCACAUGGUAGGCAUCAUAAAACGAUUCUCCUGCUACAAA